rnacentral:tRNA from 1 species
GGGUAUAGUUUAGUGGUAAAACCCUAGCCUUCCAAGCUAAUGAUGCGGGUUCGAUUCCCGCUACCCGC